AGAGUUUGAUCCUGGCUCAGGAUGAACGCUGGCGGCGUGCUUAACACAUGCAAGUCGAGCGAAGCACUUUGUUUUGAAUCUUCGGAGGAAGAACGAAGUGACUGAGCGGCGGACGGGUGAGUAACGCGUGGGCAACCUGCCUCAUACAGGGGGAUAACAGUUAGAAAUGACUGCUAAUACCGUAUAAGACCACGGUACUGCAUGGUACAGUGGUAAAAACUCCGGUGGUAUGAGAUGGGCCCGCGUCUGAUUAGCUAGUUGGUGAGGUAACGGCUCACCAAGGCAACGAUCAGUAGCCGACCUGAGAGGGUGACCGGCCACAUUGGGACUGAGACACGGCCCAAACUCCUACGGGAGGCAGCAGUGGGGAAUAUUGCACAAUGGGGGAAACCCUGAUGCAGCGACGCCGCGUGAGCGAUGAAGUAUUUCGGUAUGUAAAGCUCUAUCAGCAGGGAAGAAAAUGACGGUACCUGACUAAGAAGCCCCGGCUAACUACGUGCCACCAGCCGCGGUAAUACGUAGGGGGCAAGCGUUAU
rnacentral:rRNA from 1 species